rnacentral:rRNA from 1 species
CCCUUAGAUGUUCUGGGCCGCACGCGCGCUACACUGAUGCAUUCAACGAGCCUAUCCUUGCCCGACAGGUCCGGGUAAUCUUUGAAUCUGCAUCGUGACGGGGAUAGAUUAUUGCAAUUAUUAAUCUUCAACGAGGAAUGCCUAGUAGGCGCAAGUCAUCAGCUUGCGUCGAUUACGUCCCUGCCCUUUGUACACACCGCCCGUCGCUACUACCGAUUGAACGGUUUAGUGAGGGCCUCGGAUUGGUCUCGGCCCGCUCUUUACCGGGCGGCGCCGUUGGUCGAGAAGACGCUCGAACUUGAUCGUUUAGAGGAAGUAAAAGUCGUAACA